GUCUAUGGCCAUACCACCCUCAAUGUGCUUGAUCUCAUCUGGUCUCAAAUGCUAAGCAGGGUCAGGCCUGGUAGUACUUGGAUGGAAGACAGAUCUUCAGAAGAAACUGUUCAGAGACU
rnacentral:rRNA from 1 species